AUGUGAGAUCACUGGAGAAAGGCACAUUUUUAACGUGGAAUCUGCUGAAAUAGGAUGAUUUCUGAUCUCUGAUAAUUUGAAGAUCUUGACCAGGAUUCCAGGGGAUACCUUCCAGAGGGGUCUAGUUGCCUUUUCCCACCACCCCUCCAAACGCUUCAAGUUCUUCGUCUAUAAAAUUGGAAUAUUGACAAAAUGUACCUGGAAACGAUGCAGUGAGACAACGAAUGGCAAGCACUUCACUGCUGGCUAUUAAUAAAUGCCCAGAGUUCGAUCGUGUGGUAUUUGCAUAUUUAAAGAAACUGCCAAGCGGCUUUCCAGAGGGACUGUACUAUUUUACAUUCCCACAGCGAUGCAUGAAUAAUCCAGUGUCUCUGCAACCUCACCAGCAUUUGGUGUUGUCACUAUUUUUUAUCUUAGCCAUUUUAAUAGGUGUG
rnacentral:lncRNA from 10 species